rnacentral:rRNA from 1 species
GUGGGGAAUAUUGGGCAAUGGGCGCAAGCCUGUCCCAGCAACGCCGCGUGAAGGAAGAAGGCUUUCGGGUUGUAAACUUCUUUUACCAGGGACGAAACAAAUGACGGUACCUGGUGAAUAAGCCACGGCUAACUACGUGCCAGCAGCCGCGGUAAUACGUAGGUGGCGAGCGUUAUCCGGAUUUAUUGGGUGUAAAGGGCGUGUAGGCGGGACAGCAAGUCAGAUGUGAAAACCAGAGGCUCAACCUCUGGCCUGCAUUUGAAACUGUUGUUCUUGAGUGUCGGAGAGGUAAUCGGAAUUCCGUGUGUAGCGGUGAAAUGCGUAGAUAUACGGAGGAACACCAGUGGCGAAGGCGGAUUACUGGACGAUAACUGACGCUGAGGCGCGAAAGCGUGGGGAGCAAACAGGAUUAGAAACCCGGGUAGUCC